UGAGUGAGUGUGGACGACGCUGGAUCUUCUCACCGGCUGCCAUGAUCGAACAAACAGCAGAAAUUAAGGCAGAGUCUGUAUAUGUGGACACUCACUAUUUGCCCUCUCUACAGUUUCUCUUGUCUGUCCCCCACAAGCAGAGACCCACUGAUAGACCGCUGUUACCAGUUCUAGGGCUGACACAUCCGCACACGUCCACAUCACAAGUGUAUCCUGUAAAGAUCAAGGAGGAGCAUCACAACAGUUUCGUUGAAGUAGACAUUCUAGUAUAAGCUUGAUGAGUACACACCAGGUUUUGCAGCUAAUGCAUGCCAAAGGAGGAGCAGCUAGUUGCAAGAUGCAUCCUCUGCUGGACAGUUUAAAUACACAGAACAUUGAGGAAAAAAGAGAUGCUGUUGUCUGCUGCCUCAGUAACUACCUUGGGGAAAGACAAGAAGAUAUGUUCCAUGACUGGCAGGAAUGUGAGGAGUACACAGAAAAAACGAUGAAGGAGAUUGUGGAGCACAAUUUGUCUAUUGUGAUCGGGGGAAAACAAGUGAUGGAAGAAUGGGGAAGCCAAACAGAGGCAUGCAUACUGCUGGGACUCAUAUUUUUUUCUCUUCAAUCAUUUGCUUCACACACAGACAAAGACCCAUCCACUGUCUCUCAGCCCUCUCCAUUGCUCUGUGUUUUCCCCAAUAUUUCCUAUACAGAAAAGGAAUACUAAUGGAAAGUGGCCUAAAGAAUUUUGAUCUCACCUACCGUCUUUUCUUCCCCAUUGGUUUAUUUAUUUUAUUCUCAUCCUAUCUGCGAGAGUGAGAGUAAGGACAAAAAAUAAAGAAUUUUGUUUUACUUUUAUCCGGAUAUUUGAUACUGUACAUGCACAAAAACAACCACAAGUCUGUGUGUGUGCUUUUGGCUUUUAAAAUAGAAUAAGUGACCUUUGAAGUUUUGUAUGCAAGUAGCCAAUUACCAGAAAAAACUUUUGAAAAUGAGUAUAGUGAGUUAUAAAACAGGGUUUAUUUGUUCAUUGUUGUGUGAAGCUGUUGUACUUUAUUUAGCACUCUUUUCUGUGUUUUAAUAAUUUGGUGUCCUAAAACAGGUAUAUGUUUUAUUAUUCAACAUUGACACAUUUGAUAGAUCAGUGAGUUAUAAAACAGGUAUAUACUUGAAAUGUUGUGUAAAGCUGUUGUGCUGCACUAUAUUUUGAGUGUGUUUUAGGAUUUUUUUUAAUAAAACAUUAAGUUGAUAA
rnacentral:lncRNA from 1 species